UACGGAGGGUGCAAGCGUUAUCCGGAUUCACUGGGUUUAAAGGGUGCGUAGGUGGGCAGGUACGUCAGUGGUGAAAUCUCCGGGCUUAACCCGGAAACUGCCGUUGAUACUAUUUGUCUUGAAUAUAGUGGAGGUGAGCGGAAUAUGUCAUGUAGCGGUGAAAUGCUUAGAUAUGACAUAGAACACCAAUUGCGAAGGCAGCUGGCUACGCAUAUACUGACACUGAGGCUCGAAAGCGUGGGGAGCAAACAGG
rnacentral:rRNA from 1 species